AACAAGUACCGUGAGGGAAAGUUGCAAAGAACUUUGAAGAGAGAGUUCAAGAGUACGUGAAACCGCUCAGAGGCAAACGGGUGGGCCCACGAAAGCCGAAGGCGGGGGGAUUCAGUCGAGAGGACGGUGGAGCAGGACAGGCUGGUUGGACGGACCGUGCCAGGCCGGGUCAGUUCCCGAGAUCUGCCGCCUUUCGACGCAUUUCCCCCUGCUUAGUAGGACGCCGCAACCGGUUGGCGCUGCAGCCAUAAGGGAGAGUAAAUGGAAGGUAGCCAGUGAGUUCUUCUUCGGAGGCGCGAGCUGGUCCUAAGCCGACUCUCCUGGUGCUUGUGGCCCGACCGUGGUCGUGAGUCCCUCAACGGGAUGUCGCCGAGCCCUCUGACUGGAGCGGGAGAAGUGGCAGGCUGCUUUCCGCGGAAAAAAUCGAUCGCUUCACGCGUGCAGUGGGCGAUCUCCGGAGGUAGCUGCUGGUGCGUUUUUCUCCUGCGCUGGGCACAGGCAGUUGGCGGCGAGUAGGUCGGUCACCCACCCGACCCGUCUUGA
rnacentral:rRNA from 1 species